UACGUAGGUGGCUAGCGUUGUCCGGAUUUACUGGGCGUAAAGAGCGCGCAGGCGGUCGUUCAAGUCGAGUGUGAAAGCCCCCGGCUCAACUGGGGAGGGUCAUUCGAUACUGUUCGACUCGAAGGCAGGAGAGGGAAGUGGAAUUCCCGGUGUAGUGGUGAAAUGCGUAGAUAUCGGGAGGAACACCAGUGGCGAAGGCGACUUCCUGGCCUGUUCUUGACGCUGAGGAGCGAAGGCGUGGGUAGCAAACAGG
rnacentral:rRNA from 1 species